UGGUCAUGGCUAGGACUGUGUCCAUUUCUGCUGCUCCUUUGUAUUUUUCUCUCUUGGGCAAGAACACUAAGGCUGUAGGCAGACAUCAUCUUCCCAGCACUCCCUUCCCAGAAACUUCUGCUUCUUGAGAUGUGCCUGUGUGAGUACAUCCUCAGCCUGUCUCAAAGCCAGGUGGAUUCACUUUAAGAUGUUCUAUAGUAGGUCUUUUGAUAAUCUGCUGCUUUGAGGCAGAGAGUGAUGAUGAACCUCUCCCACCAGCACAUCUGGAUUCAGCAAAGGGUGGGUGUCCUGAGCUAAAGUUACCUUACAGUGGUAAUUCCUGGUAUCAGAGUGUUUGGUUUCUAUGCCAAAAGUAUGCGUGUGAAGAUGAACUUUGCAGUAUAAAUUUUUUUGUCUUCCAAAUGUAAAAAUGAGUUGUUUUGGAAAACAGAUGGUUGUAUUUAAGUUAUCUAAGACCUUCUAGAGUGGGUUGACUUUUAUACUUAGUUUUGAAAGAGUCCUAUACUUCAUUUUUUCAUAAUAGCCUUAAAUUUCAGUGAAAGCAAACCUCUGUGCUUUUGAAAAGUGCAGCAGGCUACAAAUGCGGGAGGAAGGGGAAGGAAGAGGAGAUUUUAAGUAUUCUUCAGAAUUUAUAAAGCUCCUGCAGGCUGGUGUGAGACGAACCAAACCUGACGUUUGGGGAGCGGCGGAGUCUGGAGCCGUGGGACGCCUUGGGAACAGCGUAAAACACGCUGCUUGUAGUGGCGUCCUGUGACCGAGUCCUCCUGAAGGUCUGGGGGUGCGUUUUAGGGAUCUUAUCCAGAGACGUGGCCCACAGCUGGAUUACCGUGCCCAUCUAGUUCUGAUGGUGCUUCAAAGACUUAACUUCUGACAAACUUGAUCAAGCCGGCGAAUUUAAUUCAGCUCCUCUGUUGAG
rnacentral:lncRNA from 1 species